rnacentral:rRNA from 1 species
UACGUAGGGGGCAAGCGUUGUCCGGAAUCAUUGGGCGUAAAGCGCGUGUAGGCGGCCUUGUAAGUCCGUUCUGAAAGCCCGGGGCUCAACCCCGGGAGGCGGAUGGAUACUGCAAGGCUCGAGUCCGGAAGAGGCGAGUGGAAUUCCCGGUGUAGCGGUGAAAUGCGCAGAUAUCGGGAGGAACACCAAUGGCGAAGGCAGCUCGCUGGGACGGUACCGACGCUGAGACGCGAAAGCGUGGGGAGCAAACGGG